UAGGGAAUCUUCCGCAAUGGGCGAAAGCCUGACGGAGCAACGCCGCGUGAGUGAUGAAGGUCUUCGGAUCGUAAAACUCUGUUAUUAGGGAAGAACAAAUGUGUAAGUAACUAUGCACGUCUUGACGGUACCUAAUCAGAAAGCCACGGCUAACUACGUGCCAGCAGCCGCGGUAAUACGUAGGUGGCAAGCGUUAUCCGGAAUUAUUGGGCGUAAAGCGCGCGUAGGCGGUUUUUUAAGUCUGAUGUGAAAGCCCACGGCUCAACCGUGGAGGGUCAUUGGAAACUGGAAAACUUGAGUGCAGAAGAGGAAAGUGGAAUUCCAUGUGUAGCGGUGAAAUGCGCAGAGAUAUGGAGGAACACCAGUGGCGAAGGCGACUUUCUGGUCUGUAACUGACGCUGAUGUGCGAAAGCGCGGGGAUCAAACAGG
rnacentral:rRNA from 1 species